AGGAGGAAAUAUACAUACACAUACAUUUUAUAAGUAACCCCUGUUCAUGAUGACACUAAGUUGUCACUUUCCAUCGAGAAAAGACGCAGACCAAUAUUCAUGUGUAUUUCUCAUCCACUAGAUAGCUUUUUAACAAGAAAAGUCUGUUGUUUUUAUUUAUCAAAUUAAUCAUGCCUGGAAAACCCUAAAACAAAGUAGACGAAGAAUUUCUACCAGUACAAAGGGUAACAAGGACAAGAGUACGUUUCCUAUGUCAUUUUUCAAGGAUAUACCAAUAUCACCACUACAAUACUCUAUACUUGUCAACAUCUCAUCGCAUUUGUAUAAACUAUAUAAAAAAAUGCCCGAGGUGCGGGGACCAAGCCCGAACGCGGCUUCGUCGUCGGAGAAUUAUUUCCAACGUUUGUUAAACAACUGUAAUUCCAGUAAAAUGGGCGGAUUUCCGGGAUAUUUCAAGUAUUCCACCCGUACGCUAUAAUAGAACGAUAUCAAAAUAAAGAGUUAAGUCAAUAAUCAUUGGUAUAGUAAUUUUAUUCGACAUCGACAUAAAUUUGAUGUGAGAGAGAUAUUAGGUUUCUUUUCAACGUGGCAAAAUUGAGAAUUACCAACAAAUUUUCGUAAGCAAAUUAAACAAGCACCGUUUGGGUGAAUACCAUGAACACUGACCACGAUGUUUGUCAACGGCGCAUAAGCGUAAGUUAUUUACAAGAUUCUGAAUAAAUGCGUCCUUUUUU